rnacentral:rRNA from 1 species
UACGGAGGGUGCGAGCGUUUGUCCGGAAUCAUUGGGGCGUAAAGGGCGCGUAGGUGGCCCGGUCAGUUCGUGGUGAAAGCGCGGGGCUCAACCCUGCGUCGGCCAUGAAUACUGCCGCGGCUGGAGCACUGUAGAGGCAGGCGGAAUUCCGGGUGUAGCGGUGGAAUGCGUAGAGAUCCGGAAGAACACCGGUGGCGAAGGCGGCCUGCU